AAGAAGCACGAGAAGAUAUUUAUUACCCAGUGGUGGAAGAGAUCAAAGAUGUUGCUCUUUAACCUUCUGAAGGUGGCCCUGGCUUCAAUAUGGUUAGGAUCCAGUAUUGCCCAGAAGGUAACUCAAGGCCAACCAGAAAAGUUAGUGCAGGAGAAGGAGGCUGUAACCCUGGACUGCACAUAUGACAUCAGUGCUAGUCUUUUUAGCCUCUUCUGGUACAAGCAGCUGAGCAAUGGGGUGAUGAUUUUCCUUAUUCAUCAGGACCCCUAUAACCAGAAAAAUGCCACAGAAGGUCGCUACUCACUGAAUUUUCAGAAAGCAAACCGUUCCAUCAACCUUGUCAUCUCAUCUUCACAGCUGGAGGACUCUGCAGUAUAUUUCUGUGCCCUGGGUGAGCCCACAGUGAGAGGUGUGUAG